rnacentral:lncRNA from 1 species
GCCCCCCCUCCCUCCCUCCCUCCCUCCCUCCCCGGCGGCGUGCGCUUCCCCUCCCCUCCCCUCCCUCAGUCGCCGCGCGCGCGCGCCGGCCGCAGGCUGCCCUCGCGCCGCUCGCCCGCCCCCCCGAUUGGCCCGUGCCCUCGCGCCGCCGGCGCUCAACGGGGAGCUUGUAAUAAAAGGGGCUGCAUCAUCCUCACACUCGGCAGAGUUCCUCAUCAAAUUUGGACCCAAGGGACGCCAGGAGCGCCGUAGGAGACCCCUCUUCCCACCCUCCACCCCGGAUGACCCAGGAGAUGUGACAGCACCCGGCGUGAGCACCGAUGCUGAGGAGAACCAUGCGGCAGCAGCGCAGUGAAGCCAGGCGUCGCAGGGUUUCGCUUGCUGGAAGCCAGACGGCAGCGAUGGAGGCCGUUCCAGCACGGCAGCGGCAAUGAAGGGCUCUGUCCCCCUGACUCAG